rnacentral:tRNA from 1 species
GGGGCUGUAGCUCAGUGGUAGAGCACUUGCCUUGCACAAGUGAGGCAUUGGGUUCAAUCCUCAGCACCA